AAGAUAGUUGGGUUUAUAUAUUUGGUAAUCUAAAGUAAUAAACUGCAAUACGCGCGAUUUCAUACAUUUUGAUAAUUUGGGCUUAAUGGGCCAAAGAUCGGGUUCAUGGGCCAACGGGCCCAAUUCAGUAAGUAUGCGCGGUAAUCCCCAACCAUAGUGGGCUUGGAGUUGUGAGGGAAUUCGGAGUGGCCACCCGUUCUGAAAGUUUGAUUUUCUUUUGGUGAACUGGACAUCCUUUUAAUUACGUUUGAGGUUUUAAGCUUUUAAAUGUAAUAAGGCCGCUUAUUUAUUUUUGAUGGUUUUUAAUAUGUAUUACUAAGAUAGGUAAUACUUAUUUUAA